CAGAGGUCUCAAGCGUUGUUCGGAUUCAUUGGGCGUAAAGGGUGCGUAGGUGGCGCCGUAAGUCAGGUGUGAAAUUUCGGAGCUUAACUCCGAAACUGCAUUUGAUACUGCGGUGCUUGAGGACUGGAGAGGAGACUGGAAUUCACGGUGUAGCAGUGAAAUGCGUAGAUAUCGUGAGGAAGACCAGUGGCGAAGGCGGGUCUCUGGACAGUUCCUGACACUGAGGCACGAAGGCCAGGGGAGCAAACGGGAUUAGAUACCCCGGUAGUCCUGGCAGUAAACGGUGCACGUUUGGUGUGGGAGGAUUCGACCCCUUCUGCGCCGGAGCUAACGCGUUAAACGCGCCGCCUGGGGAGUACGGUCGCAAGAUUA
rnacentral:rRNA from 1 species